rnacentral:sRNA from 1 species
AUUUAACCCUGAUAGUAGCGACAUCCUUUUUAAUUGUACACUGAGCCAAGUCGAAGUGUCUCAAUUAAAAAGAUAUAGCGAAUAGCAGGAAUUGCG